UGCCCGGUAGCUCAGUUGGUAGAGCGUCUGGCUGUUAACCAGAAUGUCCGAGGUUCGAGUCCUCGCCGGGCAGCCA
rnacentral:tRNA from 1 species